AUUCUCUUCGAGAGCAGCAAUUGUUUUUGUUCUCUUUUCACCUCCUCUUUAAAUUGGUCUCUUCCUCUAUUUUUUAUUUUUUAAUCUAAGUUUUUCUUCUUUCUCUUCAGAUAUGUUUUCUCUACAACCUCUCUCACUCCUUAAUCCUCUUCUCUAUCCUUCAUUAGUACCAUAAAUUCCUUUAUAUUUAUUUAUGUUUUUUUUUCUCUUCCUUUCAUUCUUAUCAGUUUCGCAAAUUUUAGUGUUUGAAAAUUCAAAUUUUGAAUUGAAACUUAAUAUAAACUAAAUAUUCACUUUCAUUAUAUUCCUGAAGAUUUUUUUUUAUAAUUCUUUCUUCUCUCCAAGAUCUGAUGGCCAAUAACGAUCCCUCCCCCUGGUCGAUGAAGCGAUCAUGCAUCGUGUGAACGUCUCAGUUGCACGAGCUCUUCCUCGAGGUGGUAGACACGAUUGCGGCGAUAGUACGGAUUACGGUGAUUGACGAGACAGCAGCGACUAUGAAUUUCAUCUAUAUUUGAAUUCAUUGGUCGAGUCACACAUCUUCCUUCCUUCCUUUUUAACAAAACCACAUUCUUCAAUUAUCCAUCUCUUUCUCUUUGGUACGUUGCUUUGAAGUUAAUCUUUUCUUUUCUUUUAUUGAUGUGGUGGUGGUAGUGGGUAUGGAGGAGGAAGCAGUGAAAGAGAGUAGAUUAGUGGAAAGAAUUGAGCGACAAAUACAGAAAACACAUGCAGUGAGACUAAAAAAGCAGAAAGCAAAGCAAUGGUGGUCAAUCGCAGAUUGAAUAAUUUUAGAAACUAAGGUAAAAGAAGUUAAGAAGAUCUUGCUACAGCUACUGGAUAGGACGUGUGACACCUCGUUGAGCAUGCUGGAGACUCACUUGAAGCGAAGAUCUAUGUUUUGAAAACUUUUUAUUGUGUAUCUAGUGUGUAUAUAUGUAAAUAUGUUCUCCAUUCUGCAUAUAUUUGUAUUUUGUCUCUCCUAGAGGUUGACUUGAAAAAACAGGAUUUAUAUUUUUUCUUUUGGUAGACUUUUAGAUUGUAUAUAUGUAUAUAUACUCUAGCCGGCCUUUACUUUGCAGGUUAUAUAUAUAUAUACAUUAUACUUUCUGUACAUUUAUCUAUUUCUUUUAUGCUUAACCGUUCGAGUGUGUUGCAA